ACAUAAAUAUAGCACUACCGGACAUUCGAGUAGAUUUGUACAGGCUCCAUAAAAUAAAAAUAUUUGCAUUAACGACCACGUGUAAUCUUUCCAUUUAUCAAAUACUCCAUGAUAUACAAGUUCAAGAACAGGAAACAGAGACGUGAAGAGAAUACUGGUAUUUUCUUUUCCAUCUGUCAGUUUCAUUCUCAACAUCUAUAUAUCUCUUUCCAGUUUCUAGAUAUACCAGAUAUCAUAUCACAUAUUACAGAGGGAGGAACAGGUAUAGCUACCAUUAGGCGGAAUUCGAAUCGCGGUUUCAAGGGCAGGGAGGGAUAAAGAUAGGAAGGUGAUGAGUUUGUGGAAGAAGAUGGUGUGCCCUGUUCGGAAACUUCUGUUUGCAGUAGCUGCCUGUGUCAAGCCUCGCAAAGACGGUGCUUCCCUUUUAAAGCUUCACAAUGAUAUUCAAACCUGCGGAUACCAAGAUAUUCAGGUCAUGUGGGAAAUGAUUAGAAGGUCAGAAUUAGAGUUGAUUUCUCAGAGCUCCAAGAAGAAGCAGAGAUCAUUUUGGAGAUUUUUCGUGUGGCGCAACCAUACAAGGGCUCAUACUUCUCCAUAAACCAAGCUUAACACAUGUCUGGUUUAAACUACAAUAGUGAAAGCCUCCUUGAUGGCCUGCAAGAAGUCAUAUACGGAUCAGCAUGCAGAAACCUAUGGCCAACAGUUGAUCGCUGUAUAUCAGAAAUAUGAAUCAAUGCCUAUUUCUGAAUAGUUAACUGGUUCUUAGGGUAGUCAAAACUAUUGCCACAAAAAAUGUUGCACAGUGCUAAAGUUAUUUGUAAAUAUACUAUGUUUUUGCUGCCAUGCAUUAAUCAUAGAGGGUCAAACUUGGUCCUGUCAGUUCUGCAUGCGCAGCAAGUAUGCUUAGAAAAUUCAGACUGCACCUGUUUCAAUAGCAUUAGCGAGAUAACAAGGCAGCACAGAAUACACAUGAAACAGAAAACUGCUUUUAACACCUGAAACACAAGGUGCCAAUAAGCAGCAUUGAAAAUUGGUACACAACCUUAAUAU